rnacentral:rRNA from 1 species
UACGGGGGGGGCAAGCGUUGUUCGGAAUUACUGGGCGUAAAGGGCUCGUAGGCGGCCAACUAAGUCAGACGUGAAAUCCCUCGGCUUAACCGGGGAACUGCGUCUGAUACUGGAUGGCUUGAAUCCGGGAGAGGGAUGCGGAAUUCCAGGUGUAGCGGUGAAAUGCGUAGAUAUCUGGAGGAACACCGGUGGCGGAAGGCGGCAUCCUGGACCGGCAUUGACGCUGAGGAGCGAAAGCCAGGGGAGCAAACGGG